AGGUGAGCAUUUGAGUGAGAAGUGUUCAGAUAGGUCCAAGGUCAGUCGCUGGCCAGUAGAAGAAGAAGAAGAAGAAAAAGGAAACGUCAUGCAACAUUGCUAAAAUUUCCACGUGUAGGCCAAAAAUUUGGCACUGUAAACGGCAGCAAUCUUCUGGGGAACGCAUUUGUCAAUUAAAGAAGCAAGGGCUAAUUCUAAGGGAUGGAACACCAAUGUAGGAACCAAGGGCCAAUUCCAAUGGAUUGAACGCAUCUUCCGCCUUAAACAAUAUUGGAAAACUAGCCAGUAACUUACCUACCGUUUGCGAAGAGAUUGGAUGGGUUCUUCAU